CGUUCGGAUAAUUUUUAGUGCGUCAAAACUGUGCGCCGAUGUUAGCUGCACAAGAGUCACUAUUUUGCCGGAGCACGUAAUGCGACAGUCGGGGACACCCCUACAAAACAUAAGACGAUGUAGACCUUGGAUAAUGACAAGUAGGCAUAAAGUAAUUGAACGUCGGACAACUAAAAGUUCCAGACAACCAAAAUAAUCAUAGCUUGUUUGUGCUAUGGUUUUUUUUAAUUUAUUUUCUCGCCCAGAACAUCAACCAGAUCAAGCGAGGCACAUCCUUUUAAAGUAGGUUUUCUGCGGGAUUCAUCUGAUUACUGCACCGCCGUGUAUGUAAACUUUGCCGCCAUUUUGUUUAUCGUCGCCAGUCACUAAAAUAUCAAAUAUAUCUGUACAAGUGCUUUGAGAUAAUGAGAGCACGAUCGGUCUUUGGUAACGCUCGCAGUUUAAGGGAGCACUGAAACAAUUUACA